UGAAAUCUCGGGGCUCAACCUCGAAACUGCGUCUGAAACUACAGGUCUAGAAUCUUGGAGGGGGAAGGGGAAUUUCGCAUGUAGGGGUAAAAUCCGUAGAUAUGCGAAGGAACACCAGAGGCGAAGGCGCCUUCCUGGACAAGUAUUGACGCUGAGGCGCGAAAGCGUGGGGAUCAAACAGGAUUAGAUACCCUGGUAGUCCACGCUGUAAACGAUGAACACUAGGUAUUGGAGGCUUUGACCCCUUCAGUGCCGUAGCUAACGCGUUAAG
rnacentral:rRNA from 1 species